GAGGAGAUGGAGGAACCAACAGCCAGCAACGAGAUGGAAAUGGAAAACAUGAAUCAAGCAGGUUUAUCAAAGGGUCGUGUGGUGACACUGCUGCGAGGUCGAGGUACUACCAAGAAAUAUAACAAGAAGGUGAACUAUCCCAGCUACAGCAACAAGGCCUUCUCUCCCAGCACACCUCUCCGUAAUCGUCAUCUGGUUCCUGAUUAUCAAGUA